rnacentral:piRNA from 1 species
UCAAAAUGGGGACCUUAGAUGACGACC